UCCAAAUCUGACCGCCACCAGAUCUGAAACUCCGCCUUCUACAUCUCAAGCUACCGAUCCAAGAAUAAACCAUGGAGCGGAAGGUGUCAAUAGUAGUUGCAUCUAUGUUCAUAUUAGCACUCAUCUUCUGUCAUGGUACAGAUGCUAAGUGUAAGCAACAAACCUACAAACUUCCUGUUCCAUGUAAUCAUGACAGUUGUGAUCCUUUUUGCACACAACAUAAGUAUGAAUCUGGGACAUGUGGUUUUACUGGCGAUCCUGA